GGGCAGGAUAGGUGAAGUUGGCUAACCGGCGGGCCGGUUUUCCAUCUUCACUUUCCCUUAUUCGCGCGAGCGCUCAACGGGACCUGCUCUGCGAGGCC
rfam:Hydrogenophaga sp. T4 contig000002, whole genome shotgun sequence.